UCCUGUCAUGGCCAAUGCUUCGCAUGUCACGGCAAUGCUUGCGCCGGAGCGUUCCGAAUGGCGCGGCCAAGGAUCGUGCGCAUCGGGCGAUAGGAUC
rnacentral:tRNA from 1 species